rnacentral:misc_RNA from 1 species
AACGCACAUUGCGCCCUGUGGUAUUCCGCAGGGCAUGCCUGUUCGAGCGUCAGCACAGCACUCAAGCCCCAGCUUGGUCUUGAGCCCAGCCGGUCACGGCGGGCUUUAAAAUUAGUGGCGGCGCCCCCUGGCUCUGAGCGUAGUAGUAAGACCCUCGCUUCUGAGUCCCGGCGGGCGCUGGCCAGCAACCCCCAACCUCCUCAGUUUGACCUCGGAUCAGGUAGGGAUACCCGCUGAACUUAA